AUUUUUUGAAUUGAAUUUAUGAACUCGCCUAGUUUUUUUAGGCAAGUUUUGUUGGCUUUAAUCUUACUCUAGAUUAUAGACAUAAUAUUGACUGGCCGUGACGUCACUUUUACAUAUAUUUCACCUGCGAAUCACACAACUUCUUGGCCACUGCGUCACAUCACAUGUGACAAAUCAAUUUUCAAAAUUUUCACAACACGUAAAACUUCAAAACGUCGUAUAAAUGUGAAUACGGGUUUUAUAUAAAAAUAUAAUUGUAUCUAAUUCUAUUUAUGUGUAGUUCGCCGAUUAAUACCCUCCACAAUAAAUUUCACCAUCAUGAUUAUACAUUUCUUUACCAUGUGAAACAUUGAAUCUUAAUGAACUAUAUUAACAUUAAAGAGAACAAAAUUCGGGUCAGUAGGCCGUAGAAUUUGAAGUUCGAAACGUUCCGUCUACUAUUGCGGCCAAACAUGAAGUAAUCGAUGUACAUCGACGACAAAAUGAACAAUUGAUGGAAUCCAUCAAUUGAAAGCCGGUAAUAAAAAACAGUCCAAUUGAAUUCCCAUUACAUCGGUGAAUUAACCGAUGAAAAAGGAACAUACGGAAAAUGUGCAUCAGUUUUUACCAAUAAAAAGUCAUAGGAUUUCUUUCAUGUCAUCUGUCAAUCAUAAAAUCUGGUAAAUUUUGAAAAGUAGGAAAUGAAUUUUUGACAACAAAAAUAUAUUUGAUUGAAAAAUUACCUUUGUUUCCACCGCAAUUUGUUCUUGUAUUAAUGUAGUAAAUGAAAAUCACACUAUUGGAAAACUUGAGAUUACUAGUUAACUUUAGAGGACGUUUAUAAAUGAUCAAGUAGUGGAUUGGAAUAUACAUAAUGAAAAUGGUUCAAAACUAGGAGAGAGGAUUGCUACAUAAGGUACGCACACAUGGAAGGUCCACCUGGAGAUUAUGAAUCGGGAAAAUAUUUGAGAACAGGGUGGAAAAAGUCACAAAUGCUUGCUAACACCUUUUGGUAAGGAUAGCUUGAAGAAUAUUAUCUAUGUUGAACUACCAUUUUGACUUCAUGAAAAUGAAGAAAUGAGCUGAAGAAUGGGAUUUUUUUACUGGGGGGAAGAAUGUUUCUCCUUGUUCAAUUUAAAUAUCUUCAAAUACCCUUUGUAUAUAAGUUUCAUUUUCAUUAGUUUGUUAUGUAUUUUUUUACUCAGUUGUUCUCAAGGUAAUUUUUUAUUUGAUUGUUAAAGAAUUGUCAUACAUUUGAAAUAGAAACGUUCAAUGAAUAAAAAAACGUGCUUUAUUGGG